rnacentral:rRNA from 1 species
UAGGGAAUCUUCCGCAAUGGGCGAAAGCCUGACGGAGCAACGCCGCGUGAGUGAUGAAGGUCUUCGGAUCGUAAAACUCUGUUAUUAGGGAAGAACAAAUGUGUAAGUAACUAUGCACGUCUUGACGGUACCUAAUCAGAAAGCCACGGCUAACUACGUGCCAGCAGCCGCGGUAAUACGUAGGUGGCAAGCGUUAUCCGGAAUUAUUGGGCGUAAAGCGCGCGUAGGCGGUUUUUUAAGUCUGAUGUGAAAGCCCACGGCUCAACCGUGGAGGGUCCUUGGAAACUGGAAAACUUGAGUGCAGAAGAGGAAAGUGGAAUUCCAUGUGUAGCGGUGAAAUGCGCAGAGCUAUGGAGGAACACCAGUGGCGAAGGCGACUUUCUGGUCUGUAACUGACGCUGAUGUGCGAAAGCGUGGGGAUCAAACGGG